GACGAACGCUGGCGGCGUGCCUAAUACAUGCAAGUUGAGCGAUGAAGAUUGGUGCUUGCACCAAUUUGAAGAGCAGCGAACGGGUGAGUAACGCGUGGGGAAUCUGCCUUUGGGCGGGGGACAACAUUUGGAAACGAAUGCUAAUACCGCAUAACAACUUUAAAUAUAAGUUUUAAGUUUGAAAGAUGCAAUUGCAUCACUCAAAGAUGAUCCCGCGUUGUAUUAGCUAGUUGGUGAGGUAAAGGCUCACCAAGGCGAUGAUACAUAGCCGACCUGAGAGGGUGAUCGGCCACAUUGGGACUGAGACACGGCCCAAACUCCUACGGGAGGCAGCAGUAGGGAAUCUUCGGCAAUGGACGAAAGUCUGACCGAGCAACGCCGCGUGAGUGAAGAAGGUUUUCGGAUCGUAAAACUCUGUUGGUAGAGAAGAACGUUGGUGAGAGUGGAAAGCUCAUCAAGUGACGGUAACUACCCAGAAAGGGACGGCUAACUACGUG
rnacentral:rRNA from 1 species